AGAAGACUUGUAAAAAAAAAAUGUGUCUCUGCACAAAAAAAUUUAAAUAGUACUUUCUUACUAUAUUAACAUCAAAAACAGGAAUUUAGACUUUAUCCAUGUUUACACAUUUCUACAAGAAGCUCCAACUCGACAAAAUCCUGGGUACAAGUAGAAGAAGAAAAUACUGAUUUUAAUUAAAAUUCCUGGAGGAAAAGCUGAUAGACCUCAAGAGUGAGAGGGAUUUCCUCAAGAGUCUUCUUAAAGAUGCUCCAAAUCAACAAAAUCCUGGGAAGAGGUUAAAAAAAGAAAAUACUGAUUUUAAUGUAAAUUCCUGGAGGAAAAGCUGAAAGAUCUCAAGAGUGAGAGGGAUUUUCUCAAGAGUCUUCUUAAAGAUGGAGACUAAAGAAGUGGUAGGACCAGCAGAGGAAGAUGAAGCAAUCGGCUCUUCACCAUUUUCACAGAACCCCACAUGACCAAAGGCUAGCUAAACCAAAACUAGCGACCACUUUGCAUCAAUGGCAGACAAGGGGCAAAUCAAACAGACUGCAGCCGUAGUGCUGGGUUGCUUGGAGAGUGUGUCUUCAUUCGCCUCCACCUUCAACCCUCUGUUUGGCAUCGUCACCACACUGGUUGGUGCAGCGAGGAAAGGCCUGGUGGAUGAUGACACAAGCAAGCUGGACAAGGACUUCCAGCAAAUUCAUGAGAAGUUGGAGAGCAUCUCUGAGCAGAACAAGCAGCUGCUGGACCAGAUCCACACUGCUGAGAUUACCAUAAACUAUGGUAAUUUGGAAAAGAACAUCGAGCACCAGUAUCGAGGCUUCAAGAAAAUGGUGGAUCGCAUCAGGGCAGACCCCGAAAAAAGUGAGCGUUAUAGAGAGGAUUUCAAGAAACUUUAUAGAAAACAAAAAGGCCGCCUGAAUUUGAACGUGUACUAUGACUCCGUUAUGGAAGACGAGGGUCCUUUUGGGAGGCCUCUACUGAUAUUUUAUCUAGAGAAAUGCAAUAAGAACAAGGAGAUUAUGGAGGCAAAAUGCUCUCAUCUGGCCUACCUCUUCCACAUCGGCCUCAUAGCACUGAUGGCCUACUAUGUGGUCACUGAAGAUGAUGAGGAUGAGUUCAGAGAAGAAUGGGGCCAAAAGGUCUUGAAUAUUCAGACCAAGAUGCAAGAAGUCCUGGAAGAGUGUAAUUAGAAGUGAUUCCAAAUUCACUGAAGUUUUGUUAAACCCCAGCUGUCUUAGUUUCUUCUGCAUGGACUUUUUGUUUUGUCGCAAACUGUUUCACAGAGCAGAGUGGAAGCCUGUGAAAGGGGCACAGUUAUCGGAUGUUACCCAUCCCUCUCUGAGAGGGAGGAGCAGAUGGAGCACGUCCAAAGUGGGAGUGCCGCAUGCAGCAAGGAUAAACAUCGAGCCAAGGCAGCUGCAAGUCAUCGGCACCGCUGCGCUGCACUUAUACUCCACAGAGUUCCACCUCUGCACUUUCCACCUCCUAACU